AUGAACGCUAGCUACAGGCUUAACACAUGCAAGUCGAGGGGCAGCAGGGUCUUAGCUGCUAAGAUGCUGGCGACCGGCGCACGGGUGAGUAACGCGUAUCCAACCUUCCCCCUACGUAGGGCAUAGCCCGGCGAAAGUCGGAUUAAUACCCUAUGUUCUUCGUAGAUGACAUCUGAAAUGAAGCAAAGAUUAAUCGCUAGGGGAUGGGGAUGCGUCUGAUUAGGUAGUCGGCGGGGUAACGGCCCACCGAGCCAUCGAUCAGUAGGGGUUCUGAGAGGAAGGUCCCCCACAUUGGUACUGAGACACGGACCAAACUCCUACGGGAGGCAGCAGUGAGGAAUAUUGGUCAAUGGGCGAGAGCCUGAACCAGCCAAGUAAGCGUGCAGGAUGACGGCCCUAUGGGUUGUAAACUGCUUUUGCCGGGGAAUAAAGUGCAGUACGUGUACUGUUUUGUAUGUACCCGGAGAAUAAGGACCGGCUAAUUCCGUGCCAGCCGCCGC
rnacentral:rRNA from 1 species